AUUCACUGAGUUGCCUUUGUAUGCUGGGACGACCAAGCCGGAGGUUCCCACUAUGAGCCUGGAGCCUGAGCAGCCAGAUGACACAGGAGGUUACCAGAAAAUACUAUGCCAGAUGCCAAGAUAGAGAGGCAAUUAAUAGUCCUACCCAGUUGUGACACCUUUCAACCAUGGCAAUGACCAGCAUGAAAAUGGAGACCAUCACAGAAAUCCACCACUGGACACGAUGCAGACAUCAACAGGUCCUGGGUAGCCCUACCCAACAACUACGUCACAAUUCUUGCAUAUAUGGCUCUGCUAACAUCACAGAAGAGGGGAUAGGAAGACUGUAAGAAUGAAACACCAGAAGUCGGCUGUGAAACAGUCUUUCCUAGAAAUGCCUGCAUAAGCAACAUUUGAACAAUGGCAGUAUGAGUAGACAUGUUGAUGUGGAAAGGAAAAACAACCUCAUAGGAUCACAUCUGCGGAUAAGACAUCUGAUGAUCACUGGGAAUGGGAGAGCAUCCUCUACCAGGGAUGAGCUCUCUAAUUAGCUAUCCAAUACAAACAGUAUCACUGAAACUGUCCAUAUACAAAAAACAGAAUGGACUCAGCAGAUUGUACUUGUGCAUAAAUACAUGUAGCGAUAAUAAUGGGACAAGAAGAAUCUAGCAGUUUGAGAGUUGUGGCAACCUGGGAGAAAGUGCUAUAAUUAUAUUUUAAUUAAAAUGUAUAAAAUACAUAGAAAAA